UACGAAGGGGGCUAGCGUUGUUCGGAAUCACUGGGCGUAAAGGGCGCGUAGGUGGCCUGAUAAGUCGGGGGUGAAAGCCUGUGGCUCAACCACAGAAUUGCCUUCGAUACUGUUAGGCUUGAGACCGGAAGAGGUAAGUGGAACUGCGAGUGUAGAGGUGAAAUUCGUAGAUAUUCGCAAGAACACCAGUGGCGAAGGCGGCUUACUGGUCCGGUUCUGACGCUGAGGCGCGAAAGCGUGGGGAGCAAACAGG
rnacentral:rRNA from 1 species